rnacentral:rRNA from 1 species
AUUGAACGCUGGCGGCAGGCCUAACACAUGCAAGUCGAGCGGUAGCACAGGGGAGCUCGCUCUCUGGGUGACGAGCGGCGGACGGGUGAGUAAUGUCUGGGGAUCUGCCCGAUGGAGGGGGAUAACUACUGGAAACGGUAGCUAAUACCGCAUAAAGUCGCGAGACCAAAGUGGGGGACCAAUAGGCCUCACACCAUCGGAUGAACCCAGAUGGGAUUAGCUAGUAGGUGGGGUAAAGGCUCACCUAGGCGACGAUCUCUAGCUGGUCUGAGAGGAU